rnacentral:rRNA from 1 species
UACGGGGGGAGCAAGCGUUGUUCGGAUUUACUGGGCGUAAAGGGCGCGUAGGCGGUCAGCACAAGUCAGUUGUGAAAUCUCCGGGCUUAACUCGGAAAGGUCAACUGAUACUGUGCGACUAGAGUGCGGAAGGGGCAACUGGAAUUCUCGGUGUAGCGGUGAAAUGCGUAGAUAUCGAGAGGAACACCCGUGGCGAAGGCGGCUCUCUGGGACGGUACUGACGCUGAGACGCGAAAGCGUGGGGGAGCGAACAGG